GUACUGUAUGAAAGGAGAGAAGGUUAGCACUCUCCUUGACAAGGAUAGAAGAGGCCCUUGAACCGAACAACACACAUAUGUUUAAGGAACUGCCAGCCACUUUGUGACAUCUAACCACUGUGUUUA
ensembl:snRNA